UAGAUAGAUAGAUAGAUAGAUAGAUAGAUAGAUAGAUAGAUAGAUGAUAGAUAGAUAUGGAUACAUAUAUCUCCUCAUAGUUGUUAUUUCAGGAAUGAGACAUGUUCCUCUUCCUUUCAGGUCACAAAAUACUGAGGGUGUGGCUCAGUCCAUGCUCGUAACUCGCAACUUCACAAACUGAUCAGCACAGGCUUCACACUCUAGAAUUGUUUCCGUAAGUGCCAUAGAGAUGCCCUGGGCGAAACAGUAGCUAACUUUUUCCAGGAACACUCCACAUUUCCAGUUUUGCUCAACUGUGCCAAAAAAACAGGUGGGGGAGAGAGCAGGAGUUUAUGGUUAUCCUGCCUCUAGUUAUAUGUCUAAAUGUCAGCUUUCCUCACUUGAAACUAUUGUGCAGUUGAUCCUCCAUCAUAUUUGUAUUUUUUCCUGCUGGAUUUUAUAUUUUCCCAAACAGGGAACCAGCUGCUAAACAUUUCUUCAUCACACGUUUCCCUAGGUGAAACCUGAAACCUGAACAGCACUUUGGAGAACCUAAUCUAUUGUGUCUGAUAUGCCUUCACAUACUCCAUCUUAAGUCUUGUGACUAAAUGCAGACUUUGUGGCUUUAAUACCAAGCCAGCUUUUAACAUUUUUCUCUUUCCACAUCCGAUUUGCAUAACAUGCAGCCUGAACUCAAAAGGUUUCUCACACUUUUGUGACAUUUUGCUUGGGUUAUAAAGGUAUUAUCCCACUGUGGUUUCCCCCCGCCCCCUUUAUGGGCCAACAUGGAUAUCUUUUACUACCAUGUUUUAGAGCUUGGUUAUUGUUUACUGCAGUACUAACAGUUGACAGUCAGUUCUUCAUGAGGUGAAAAAGACUGAUGUCCAUUUUGAAAACGUCUUCCGCUAUUGCUUGUUGUGAAGAAAAGCAUGCUGGGAGAUAAGGAACAGACUUCUUGACAAUGUGUUCCAUCUGGUUAAGAGACAAUUGAAUCAGUAUAUCCAGUUAUUAAUAAAACAGAACACACACAACACAUGCCUUCACCGCACUCUAUUGAAAAGGCACUGGGUCCAUAAGAUUUCAGAGAAAAACUUCAAAGUAUCCUGUGUGCUAGUCUUUCUACCACUCUCAGAAACGCUAGAGGAUUAAUAAUACACUAGGUCCUCCUACUCAUCCUCUAAUCUACCAUUCUCUAUGGAAAGGAAACUGCUCUGACACAAGAAUUGAAUUUGUGCUCCUGGCCUUGUCAGCAAGAAAAGAGAGCUCUCAUUAUGUAAGUUAUUAAUACCUCUCACAUUAAGUACCCCGUCUUCUAAUUUAAACGUUUCUUACACUGUCAAAAUAAUCUUUUAUACAGCACAUUUUUGCAUCUUUCCAUAUACCACAAUCACACCAUACAUUUAAAGCACUAUGAUACCAUUUUACGCAUUCAUAGCUUCCCCCAAAGAACAGUUAAUUUGUUGGGGGGAGGGGCUGAGAGUUGUUAGGAGACCCCCUACUGUACUUCCCUUUGCAGAGGUACAAUUCCGAGUUCCUAGGAAGAGGAAUUGAUUGGUUUUUGUUUUUUUCUUUGCUGUUAAUGUUUUAAUGGGGUUAAAACAACGGUUAAAAAGUUAGAACACAUCCUGGAUGAAAAUGGUUUUUUUUUAAGGGAAGUGAAGAGGAAUUGAUUGUUAAGCCUCUCUGGAAAUGGCAGAAACAGGUCGUUUCCCUUUAAGGCUCCCAUUCUAAAUAUUUUUCUUCUGAAAGAAGGGCCUCACUACAUGUUGCAUUAAUUGCAUGGCUUGCAGCCACAUCAUAGAUUAUUAUUAUUUAAUAAAAGCCUAGGCAUGGGGAGGGCGAAGCAUUUCCAUAGGAACUGCAGUACAUGGGGGGCAGGGAGUUAGGGGCUCAUUCACACUUUCUAUUGUCUCUUUUUGCACUCAGUUGUAGGGUUUUCUCUGGAUUAACGUUUGUACUGAUUUAGGGCUAAAGAGUAGGCUUUCCCUUAGAAUGAAAUAAGGGGAAAACCGCUAGGACCCACGCUUGGAAAGUGUUUGCCAAGUGGAAAACACCUUGGACUCGUUCUUUCUAGGCCCAGGACAAGUAGAAGGUUGGACAAGCCCUAAGACUUCUUUCCACAGCCACAGCCGCGAUGGAAAUUGCUCCCUCACUAGUGGUAGAAAAAUGUUCUCAUCUCUUUAGCUUUCAACUAAGCAUGAAGCCUUCUUUUACUUUUCAGGCUGAUUAACUGUGACACCUGUAAAUUCUAUAAUCUGAGAAUUAGCAAAAACAAGUCACCUGUGGACAGGAGGAAAUCUAAUUAGCAAACAGGUCUGUCAUUUGCCUGCGUGAACGAGUCAAACUGAAACCUAUAGCCUAUUAUCUUGGGCCUGCCUGUUACCUUUCUGAGAUAAAGUCUGCAUCCUGCCUCUCCAAAGGAAAAGCAACACCCACUCACCUCUCAGAAACUGACCACAUCAGCACAAAGUCCUGGGAGCACGUAAGUAGACGACCCUUUUCCUGUUAAGAGACUACAUGCUUUAGCAUAAGGCCUAAUGCAGACAGGUGUGUUUUCAUUUCUGUGAACUGGGAUUGGCUUACAAAUAAACAGAAAGACCAGGUGAUCAUGUUCCCUCCGCUGGACCCUUCCAAAAAGUUUCUCAAGUAAGAAAGGGCUCCUUGUUUCAAGCACCGACAUGAGCCAAGCAGUUUAAAACAAAAAACAAAACAAAAAAACCCCCUCUUUUUUGUGCUUGGCUGCAUCUACAGGGAGCAACAGACCUCAGGGAGAGUCAAGAACACUCCUUGCAUUUGUCUGUAUGCUAGAGGGUUUUUUUAGGUCUCUAACCAGGCAAAACAUACCUCCGGUGUUUGGAGUGGUUAUACCUCAAAGGGACGAAAGGAACCAGGAAAAGAGCAAUCUCUCGGGAACUUGAAUGCUGCCAAAGCAGCAGAAAUCGGUAGGUGGAAUGGGUUCUUCCUCCUGCAAAAGGGCAGGCAUUAUACAGAGAGAGCCAGGGGCGCAUGAUGCUUAGAGGAUAUCCAGCUAUGAAGUUGUGCACUUGGUGCCUAGGACUGCUAUUGAACCCUGUUGCAUUUUGUGCCAUACUGUAUUUCUAGACUUUUAAUGUGAACAUUCCUGUUUCGCAGUACAGGUACCAAGCAUAACACAAGGUAUCUGAGAGACUGCAGUGCUCAUUUGGAGAAGUCUUGGCAGAACCUUCCACCCCAGUCCUUGUUCCAUCCCUCCUCCUAUCCUCUGCCAAAGCUUUUCUCAAGUAUUAAAUACAUUUUCUUUAACUUCACAUAUUCAGCAACUUUUACAAAAAAACAGCAGCAGCAGCAGCACACAACUCUUUCCAACUUUUAUUUUCUUGCUUUUGUAUUUGAGCAUCUAUUUCACAGUCUAUUAAAAGUCGCUUUGGCUAUUUUGAGAGCUGACGGCAGAUGCAUGAGCUGCUUUGCACUUCUCAUUUUUUUUCCUUUUAGCCUUUACUAUAAUGCCCAAAUGGGAACUUUCAAAAGAAGGAGUGAUUGGAAGCACCACAUAUAUGCAUAUCUAAAGCCUACCAUUGGACGCAGGUGGCGCUGUGGGUAAAAGCCUCAGUGCCUAGGACUUGCUGAUCAUAAGGUCGGCGGUUCGAAUCCCCGCG